rnacentral:rRNA from 1 species
GACGAACGCUGGCGGCGUGCUUAACACAUGCAAGUCGAACGGAAAGGCCCUGCUUUUGUGGGGUGCUCGAGUGGCGAACGGGUGAGUAACACGUGAGUAACCUGCCCUUGACUUUGGGAUAACUUCAGGAAACUGGGGCUAAUACCGGAUAGGAGCUCCUGCUGCAUGGUGGGGGUUGGAAAGUUUCGGCGGUUGGGGAUGGACUCGCGGCUUAUCAGCUUGUUGGUGGGGUAGUGGCUUACCAAGGCUUUGACGGGUAGCCGGCCUGAGAGGGUGACCGGCCACAUUGGGACUGCGGUACGGACCAGACUCCUACGGGAGGCAGCAGUGGGGAAUAUUGCACAAUGGGCGGAAGCCUGAUGCAGCAACGCCGCGUGCGGGAUGACGGCCUUCGGGUUGUAAACCGCUUUCGCCUGUGACGAAGCGUGAGUGACGGUAAUGGGUAAAGAAGCACCGGCUAACUACGUG